AGUGAACGCUGGCGGUAGGCCUAACACAUGCAAGUCGAACGGCAGCACAGUAAGAGCUUGCUCUUACGGGUGGCGAGUGGCGGACGGGUGAGGAAUACAUCGGAAUCUACUUUUUCGUGGGGGAUAACGUAGGGAAACUUACGCUAAUACCGCAUACGACCUACGGUUGAAAGCAGUGGAUCUUCGGACCUUUCGCGAUUGAAUGAGCCGAUGUCGGAUUAGCUAGUUGGCGGGGUAAAGGCCCACCAAGGCGACGAUCCGUAGCUGGUCUGAGAGGAUGAUCAGCCACACUGGAACUGAGACACGGUCCAGACUCCUACGGGAGGCAGCAGUGGGGAAUAUUGGACAAUGGGCGCAAGCCUGAUCCAGCCAUACCGCGUGGGUGAAGAAGGCCUUCGGGUUGUAAAGCCCUUUUGUUGGGAAAGAAAAGCAGCAGGUUAAUACCCCGCUGUUCUGACGGUACCCAAAGAAUAAGCACCGGCUAACUUCGUG
rnacentral:rRNA from 1 species